UGACAUAACAAGUUUACGCUGAGUAUUACCAUUCAUUAUAGCAGUUAUAUCAAUCUUUUAUGCACUCGUGGGAUUAACUUAGUGCUAGGGCAUUGAAUAUCGAACAAUACGUCAAUUUCAAUGAUUUUGGGGUUUUUUGAGACACCCUGUACAGGGUGUAUCAAAAAAAAGGAGACCUUUAGAAAUCAAGCAUAUUGUUAAAAUUUGAAUGCCUUUUCAAUUGCACAUACGCUGAACCGUGGUGCGUGAAAUAUUGAUGGAGUGCAUAUAUCCCCACGAGUGCGUAACAUGCGAUCUACGUACAGUAUGCAUGGCAGAUUGUUCCCAGGAGCAGACAAUAUUUUGUUUAAACGUUAUUUCAAUUUCUAAAGGUCUCCUCUUUCUAAUAUAUGCACUCCAUCAAUAUUUCACGCACCACGGUUCAGCAUAUGUGCAAUUGAAAAGGCAUUCAAAUUUUAACAAUAUGCUUGAUUUCUAAAGGUCUCCUUUUUUAUGAUACACCCUGUA